CGUUGUCUAAGCAGUUUGUGUGGGACUAGAACUCAAUUUUUGGAACUUCCUGUUCCAUGCCUCUCAGUGCUGCUCUUCAACAUCCCUAACAUUUCCCUUUAGCAGUCCAUCAUGGACCUCAUACCUGUGAUUCAUUCAACUGAUUAGUUCCUGAAGCUCCUGCUGUUUUCAGCCUCUGCACAACCUCUGAUGCAAGCUGUCUGCAGCGCCCAAUGAAGAGUGGUCCACAGACACCCUCCUCCUCCCUCCGCUUGGCUGGCAAACCCGUCUGAGGUGGAGGGAGGGGGAGCCAGGAGAGUUCGCAACAGUCUCUCUCUCUUUCAAGACCCAAGUUAGCUACAAAAGGGAAUUAAAAACUUCACGUCG